rnacentral:rRNA from 1 species
GGGCCCGCACAAGCGGUGGAGCAUGUGGUUUAAUUCGAUGAUACGCGAGGAACCUUACCAGGGCUUAAAUGUAGAACGACCGAUUUGGAAACAAGUCUUCUCUUUGAGCGGUCUACAAGGUGCUGCAUGGUUGUCGUCAGCUCGUGCCGUGAGGUGUCGGGUUAAGUCCCUUAACGAGCGCAACCCCUAUCUCUAGUUGCCAGCGGAUAAUGCCGGGGACUCUAGAGAAACUGCCCGUGCAAACGGUGAGGAAGGUGGGGAUGACGUCAAAUCAUCACGGCCCUUACGUCCUGGGCUACACACGUGCUACAAUGGUCGGUACAGAGGGCAGCUACCACGUGAGUGGAUGCAAAUCUCGAAAGCCGAUCUCAGUUCGGAUUGAAGUCUGCAACUCGACUUCAUGAAGCUGGAAUCGCUAGUAAUCGC